rnacentral:rRNA from 1 species
CAGCAGCCGCGGGAAUACGUAGGGUGCAAGCGUUAAUCGGAAUUACUGGGCGUAAAGCGUGCGCAGGCGGUUUGGUAAGUCCGUUGUGAAAGCCCUGGGCUCAACCUGGGAAUUGCAGUGGAUACUGGGUCACUAGAGUGUGGUAGAGGAUAGUGGAAUUUCCGGUGUAGCAGUGAAAUGCGUAGAGAUCGGAAGGAACAUCUGUGGCGAAGGCGACUAUCUGGGCCAACACUGACACUGAGGCACGAAAGCGUGGGGAGCAAACAGGAUUAGAUACCCCCGUAGUCCCUGUCUCUUAUAC